rnacentral:rRNA from 1 species
UACGAAGGGGGCUAGCGUUGCUCGGAAUUACUGGGCGUAAAGGGCGCGUAGGCGGAUAGUUUAGUCAGAGGUGAAAGCCCAGGGCUCAACCUUGGAAUUGCCUUUGAUACUGGCUAUCUUGAGUUCGGCAGAGGAGACUGGAAUUCCUGGUGUAGCAGUGAAAUGCGUAGAGAUCAGGAGGAAUACCGAUGGCGAAGGCAGGUCUCUGGGCUGAUACUGACGCUCAUGCACGAAAGGCGUGGGGAGCAAACAGG